CGGCCGGGAACUCAAAGGAGACUGCCGGUGAUAAACCGGAGGAAGGUGGGGAUGACGUCAAGUCAUCAUGGCCCUUACGACCAGGGCUACACACGUGCUACAAUGGCGCAUACAAAGAGAAGCGACCUCGCGAGAGCAAGCGGACCUCAUAAAGUGCGUCGUAGUCCGGAUUGGAGUCUGCAACUCGACUCCAUGAAGUCGGAAUCGCUAGUAAUCGUGGAUCAGAAUGCCACGGUGAAUACGUUCCCGGGCCUUGUACACACCGCCCGUCACACCAUGGGAGUGGGUUGCAAAAGAAGUAGGUAGCUUAACCUUCGGGAGGGCGCUUACCACUUUGUGAUUCAUGACUGGGGUGAAGUCGUAACAAGGUAACCGUAGGGGAACCUGCGGUUGGAUCACCUCCUUA
rnacentral:rRNA from 1 species